rnacentral:rRNA from 1 species
AAAUUGAAGAGUUUGAUCAUGGCUCAGAUUGAACGCUGGCGGCAGGCCUAACACAUGCAAGUCGAACGGUAACAGGAAGCAGCUUGCUGCUUCGCUGACGAGUGGCGGACGGGUGAGUAAUGUCUGGGAAACUGCCUGAUGGAGGGGGAUAACUACUGGAAACGGUGGCUAAUACCGCAUAACGUCGCAAGACCAAAGAGGGGGACCUUCGGGCCUCUUGCCAUCAGAUGUGCCCAGAUGGGAUUAGCUGGUUGGUGAGGUAACGGCUCACCAAGGCGACGAUCCCUAGCUGGUCUGAGAGGAUGACCAGCCAUACUGGAACUGAGACACGGUCCAGACUCCUACGGGAGGCAGCAGUGGGGAAUAUUGCACAAUGGGCGCAAGCCUGAUGCAGCCAUGCCGCGUGUAUGAAGAAGGCCUUCGGGUUGUAAAGUACUUUCAGCGGGGAGGAAGGUGUUGUGGUUAAUAAC